AGUGAACGCUGGCGGUAGGCCUAACACAUGCAAGUCGAACGGCAGCACAGUAAGAGCUUGCUCUUACGGGUGGCGAGUGGCGGACGGGUGAGGCAUACAUCGGAAUCUACUUUUUCGUGGGGGAUAACGUAGGGAAACUUACGCUAAUACCGAACACGACCUACGGGUGAAAGCAGGAGAUCUUCGGACCUUGCGCGAUUGAAUGAGCCGAUGUCGGAUUAGCUAGUUGGCGGGGUAAAGGCACACCAAGGCGACGAUCCGUAGCUGGUCUGAGAGGAUGAUCGGCCACACUGGAACUGAGACACGGUCCAGACUCCUACGGGAGGCAGCAGUGGGGAAUAUUGGACAAUGGGCGAAAGCCUGAUCCAGCCAUACCGCGUGGGUGAAGAAGGCCUUCGGGUUGUAAAGCCCUUUUGUCGGGAAAGAAAAGCAGCAGGUUAAUAUCCCGCUGUUCUGACGGUACCCAAAGAAUAAGCACCGGCUAACUUCGUG
rnacentral:rRNA from 1 species